rnacentral:lncRNA from 1 species
GGCAGUGAGUGAUGCAGUGAAGAGAAGGUUGAAAUGAGAAGAGACAAUAGAAGGGAGGUCGGGGAGUCUGCUCGAGAUCGACUCUCAGUGAUGAGGUGGAGAGUCGGCUCAAGAGAGAAGAGGUCUAGGGUUUUGAAUUGGGGACAGAGGCACAAGAGAAAUAGGGGUAGGAGUUAAAUUUUAAUGACACUGCAUGGCUUCUGUCGGUAUUUUUCUAUAUCACAAUUUGUCAACACUUUAAAAUGUCAUAACAUACAGUCAGUAGGU